GCAAAAGCCUCUUUUCCCCGCAAAAACCGAUUGUAUUAAUUUACACCACCUCAGCAGUUCUGCGUGUUCUCUUCGCUCAGGUGUAACAACUGUUUCUGCAGCAAAUUCUGAAUGCAGUGUCGGUUCUGUGGAGUUGCGCGGAUAGAGGAUUGGCUUUUUUUUUGUUCCUCUAAGCCUCCCUCCAGUGCGGAUCACAACGCAGGAAGCGAUAGCGUCCCCCCGCGUAUCCGGCCCCGCGUGCAUCAACACUCCAUCCCCACAUCCGCUCCAGAGGGAAGCGCCGUGAAUCGCUAAUUUGAUCCAGGAAAAUUCGAAAGCGUCGCGUUUGUGGCGCGGUACCCGCGGCUUUGAUAUCCGCGGGGCUGUGAUGUUGUUCAGUCCCCCGUGAAAGCGCCCAGAUUUGUCAGAAGCAGACAGAUUACAUUUAUUUCCCUUUCCCCCCCCUCCACGUGUCUAUACGAAAGGAGCGACCGUGUCUUUGUUGUCCUGUAAGGCGGCGCCUCUGUGCUCUUGGAUUGCUUGUAAUCAGCUGGAGCUCGCUACGGAUUUCAAUAAGAAGCAAGUGAAACAGAAGCCAGGAGAGGUUUGCGAUGGAGCAGGGGUCCUUUGAUGUGUGAGCAGGUUAAUCCAGCCGUAGCCUCCCUCAGCUACUCGCCUUGCCGACCUUCCCUUGACCUUUGACUCCCUGCGGAGCUGCGUUUGAUUGGCUUAUCCCUGCACUGGAGCUGUUUCAGGAGAUUUAUCUGCCAGAAGGAGUCAGCUGAAACUAUGCUGAUUAAAACAAGAUGCAACA